CCUGCUGCUUUCUCAGACAUUUCGAAUCGCUCUCAGAUGCUGACGACCGAGGGCGCUCGUCCCCCACUCCCCUGGCGGUGCCCUCCUCCCCAUCGGCGCCUGCAGAGAGAUCUCGGUGAGCGGCCAUGGUGCGGCAGCGCGGCUCUGCUGCAGGGCCUCACGCGGGGUGUCACGGCUGGCUCGCACGCGCCAAGGGGACGGUCCAUGCGGACUCGCCGGCAAGCCCCUUCGCUAGAUCUUCCUCGGGCAGGCCCUCCUCCAGGUCUUCCAUCGGACCCGCCGCCAGGUCUUCCUCGAGCAGGCCCCUUCGCCGGCGACGAGCACCACCAGGUGUACAUGUGUGCACCCAGGCCCUUAACUGCACCCGCCUCGCCCCUGCAACUAGUUUUCUGUUGGUUGGUUGGUUUGGAUUUGGCUCCCGGAGGAUUGAUGCGGCCAUUGAAGAUCACUGUAGAUUCAUCAUGAAAUUCAGAGGCUGCUCAGGUCAUGUUGGGGGACCAGCAGAUGAUACUGGCCUUGGACUCAUCUAGCGCAUCAAGCUCUGCCCCUGAUUUGGAUCCUUGCCUCCUCGUGAUCUUCUGAGGCAGCGACGGGCUCACGGAGUAGAUGCGCUUGGCUUGGCUCUGCUCUGGCAACAUAGAGGCGCUUAGCGUCCUCACCAAUGCACUCAUUGUCAACCACAUGAGUUAGGCUUUUACACGAUCACAUCAUUCUUGAUUCCUGCAUGGACGUCCUGACCCUGCACAGGCCCCAGCCCCAGCCCCAAUCUCAUAUGAACUGCAUUACCACACCUCUUGACAAUGUGGCAGUGGGCUCAAUCACUGGUUAUAUAUUUUUCUUUUUGCUGGCAUCACCGAUAGUUGAGGAUCUCCUGGUAGCCAUGUAGGUGCACAUAUGGAUUUGCCUAUGCAGCUUUGGAUGAAUAGGUGGUUUGCAUGAAAUGAAAAGCUAUCAACCUAGUGGCAAGUCCACCGCAUGAUGCAAUCCACGGCCGCGGUGCUGGUAUGAAGCAGCGGUGGCGGUUGGUGGCGUGUAGUUCACGGCAGCGGCGCUAGUGCGAAUCAGCGGUGGUGGUCGAUUGGAUGGAAGAUAGCACAGGAGCAGCGCGACGCGGCCAAGGAUUUUUGCAUUUUACUUGUUGAAUUUGGUGUUUUUAUGCUUGUGUGCAUAAGUUUCUAUACACACAGUGGAGCACUUCUAUGCAUUUUUGUAUUCUUAAUGCUUGUGAGCAUAAGUUCCUUGGAGCAGGUCUAUGUUGUUUUUAUGCGACAACAAAUUCACUUUUUAUUCAUCAAAUGCCGACACGAAAAAUAUUUAAGUGUAGUGAAUCCGGUCGUCUAUCACGUGCUAUUUUUUAAAUUUUAAAUUUUUGAGAAGACGAGAUAGUCUUUUAUGUUUUACGUGUGCGGUUCUCAUGUUCUGUGUAUUGUUCUCAUAUUAUUUAUAUAUCCUUAUAUUGGAAAGCAUGA